UACGUAGGGGGCUAGCGUUGUUCGGAAUCACUGGGCGUAAAGCGCACGUAGGCGGACCUAUAAGUCAGGGGUGAAAUCCCGGGGCUCAACCUCGGAACUGCCUUUGAUACUGUGGGUCUCGAGACCGGAAGAGGUGGGUGGAAUUCCUAGUGUAGAGGUGAAAUUCGUAGAUAUUAGGAAGAACACCAGUGGCGAAGGCGGCUCACUGGUCCGGUUCUGACGCUGAGGUGCGAAAGCGUGGGGAGCAAACAGG
rnacentral:rRNA from 1 species